AUGCUCUGCCCAUGUUUGGGGACAGCUUCUUUUCCUCUCCCCAUCUGGCUCCCCGCUGCUCCCUGUGUGCCCACCCCACCUGCCCCGGUGUUUGGCUGGCCUCCUCUUCCUGCUGAGCCAGUGCCUCUAAGGAGCUGCCAGCAGUGGGGAUGCGCCAGGCCUCCUCCAGUUCUCCAGGGCGCAGGCUUUCUGCUGCGACCAUCCCGGGUCUCAUCGAGCUCUGCACCCUGCACCCGCAGCGCUGACCUCACGGAGUCUGCCCCUCUGCUGCAGCUUGCCCUGGCCUCCUGCCUGCCUCUUUCUGAUCCUGUCGUCUUUUGCCUCCUUGGCCUCCCUCCUGGCCUUGCUGCUGUCUCCCUUCCUCAGCUUGUCUUUUGGGGAAUCUCUAACCUUCCAGAACUCCCUCUGCCCAUAUGGAGCCCCGAUCUGGGCAGCACCACCCCUUUGCAAAACUCCCCUCCGUCCACACCUCCCUGGGGCUUGCAGGCACCAUCCAAGGAACAGCAGGACUCACCAUCUCAGUGA